rnacentral:rRNA from 1 species
AUUGAACGCUGGCGGCAGGCCUAACACAUGCAAGUCGAGCGGAUGAAGGGAGCUUGCUCCUGGAUUCAGCGGCGGACGGGUGAGUAAUGCCUAGGAAUCUGCCUGGUAGUGGGGGAUAACGUCCGGAAACGGGCGCUAAUACCGCAUACGUCCUGAGGGAGAAAGUGGGGGAUCUUCGGACCUCACGCUAUCAGAUGAGCCUAGGUCGGAUUAGCUAGUUGGUGGGGUAAAGGCCUACCAAGGCGACGAUCCGUAACUGGUCUGAGAGGAUGAUCAGUCACACUGGAACUGAGACACGGUCCAGACUCCUACGGGAGGCAGCAGUGGGGAAAAUUGGACAAAGGGCGAAAGCCUGAUCCAGCCAUGCCGCGUGUGUGAAGAAGGUCUUCGGAUUGUAAAGCACUUUAAGUUGGGAGGAAGGGCAGUAAGUUAAUACCUUGCUGUCUUGACGUUACCAACAGAAUAAGCACCGGCUAACUUCGUG